CAGCCGCCGCGGUAAAACGGAGGGAGCUAGCGUUGUUCGGAAUUACUGGGCGUAAAGCGCACGUAGGCGGCUAUUCAAGUCAGGGGUGAAAGCCCGGGGCUCAACCCCGGAACUGCCUUUGAAACUAGAUAGCUUGAAUCUUGGAGAGGCGAGUGGAAUUCCGAGUGUAGAGAUGAAAUUCGUAGAUAUUCGGAAGAACACCAGUGGCGAAGGCGGCUUACUGGCUCAUUCUAGACGCUGAGGUGCGAAAGCGUGGGGAGCAAACAGGAUUAGAUACCCGCGUAGUCCCUGUCUCUUAUAC
rnacentral:rRNA from 1 species